GAAUGAAGAACGUAGUGAAAUGCGAUAAGUAAUGUGAAUUGCAGAAUUCCGUGAGUCAUCGAAUCUUUGAACGCACAUUGCGCCCACUGGUAUUCCGGUGGGCAUGCCUGUUCGAGCGUCAUUAUCCUCCCUCAAACCCCGGGUUUGGUGUUGGACCUAAGUUGUGCGAACAACUGGUCCAAAAGACAAUGACGGCGUCCGUGGGACCCUCGGUGCAACGAGCUUUUCGGAGCACGCAUCGAGUUGCAAGGACCCUCCGGGCCGGUCUCCUCUAUCUAUUUUACUAGGUUGACCUCGGAUCAGGUAGGAAUACCCGCUGAACUUAAGCAUAUCAAUAAGCGGAGGA
rnacentral:misc_RNA from 1 species